rnacentral:lncRNA from 1 species
UUUAUUAUUUUUUGUUACAAAAUGCAUCAACAAUUCUAAAAAGAUAUUGUUUAAAUCGCUCUUAUACUAUAUCAUAACGAACCAAAAAUAAAUAAGAGAUAUCGACUCAUAUUAUUUGGACUUGUCUCCACAAUAUAUUAUGUUUUGUUUAACUUAAUUGCAUUUAUCACAUUUUUUGUUCAAAAAAUUACACUUAUUUCUCAUGCAGUGGUGAUCAGUAUAAUAAAAGUAUAAAAAAUGAAGGGUUUGUGUAGAUGCAGAAAAGUGUUGGAUAGUUUAUAUAAUUUCACUAAAACUCAUAAGGUGUGUAGGUGUAUUUUCCGCCAUAAUUAAAGAGGAUAUAAUAGGUAGGGUGAUGCAGGCCUUAGUAGGCAAGAAAUACACGAUCUCCAACUAGAAUGCCAUAUACGUAAUGCUUCCCAACAUCAUUGUAAUGCCAAAUAAUCUAACCCAUGAGUGGAUUUCACCCGAACCACGCAGAUAUAGAUUCUUUAAUAUAUAGUAGAUGAAUUUUCAGACAGCAAGGAGAGUAAUGAGACUUUUGAGGAGGUCCUAAUGUCCAAGCGGUUACUUAAUUGAUUAGCUCCUAAUUUGAUCUUUAUUCAAGGUAGUGGGACUUCCAUUCCUUUGAUUUUCUGCACCUUAAACUUCCACAUAUCAAUAAUUUCGUCUAUGUAAGCAUAGUGGAAGGAAUUGUAUUUAAAAAAUGG